UCAUGAAUAUCAUUAAUUUAACUAUUAUCUCUUUAAGAACAAGAUUUAAUUUCUAAAAUUUAAAUUAAGUACCCUCUAAAGUUAGUUUCACCACACCACAUAAGAUAUGAUAUGGUGGACAGAUUAGAGGAUAGGUCUGUGAGAGCUCAUUUAUGGGGUAUCCUAAAAGAGUUUGGGAUGUCAUUUUUUCUUUCCAGUAGUUCAUAAUGUGAUUGUAAGCAAUCAUACUAUUUUCUUAAAAAUAGUGGGAGGAUGA
rnacentral:lncRNA from 1 species